rnacentral:rRNA from 1 species
GUGCACCUCUUGUAGUCUUUGAAAGAAAAGUAAACCCCUUGCAGAAAUGCGGUUGGGGGGACUGGGCCUCACCCGCCCUUCCCCUGCUUGCUUUGAAAAAAGUGAGAACCCCUCGCAGCAAUGCGGUUGGGGGGAGUGGUUAUUCUUCCCCUGCUUACUUUUCUUUCAAAWGGCUAUGUUUUCAUAUACACUAUAAAGUUACAGAAUGUCUUUUAAAGAUUGUCGCUYGCGCGCAGUCAUUAAACCUAUACAACUUUCACCAACGGAUCUCUUGGCUCUCCCAUCGAUGAAGAACGCAGCGAAAUGCGAUAARUAAUGUGAAUUGCAGAAUUCAGUGAAUCAUCGAAUCUUUGAACGCCCCUUGCGCCCUUUGGUAUUCCGAAGGGCAUGCCUGUUUGAGUGUCAUUAAAUUAUCAACCUUGCUCGUUUUUCGAGUAAGGCUUGGAUGUGAGGGCUUGCUGGCUUCCUUCAGUGGAUGGUCUGCUCCCUUUAAAUGCAUUAGCGGGAUCUCUUGUGGACCGUCACUUGGCGUGAUAAUUAUCUAUGCCUCGUCGACUUUGAAGCAAAUUUAUGGGAACCUGCUUAUA